rnacentral:rRNA from 1 species
GAUGAACGCUGACAGAAUGCUUAACACAUGCAAGUCAACUUGAACUUCGGUUUGGGUGGCGGACGGGUGAGUAACGCGUAAAGAACUUGCCUCACAGAUAGGGACAACAUUUGGAAACGAAUGCUAAUACCUGAUAUUAUGAUUAUAUGGCAUCGUAUAAUUAUGAAAGCUAUAUGCGCUGUGAGAGAGCUUUGCGUCCCAUUAGCUAGUUGGAGAGGUAACGGCUCACCAAGGCGAUGAUGGGUAGCCGGCCUGAGAGGGUGAUCGGCCACAAGGGGACUGAGACACGGCCAGUACUCCUACGGGAGGAAGCAGUGGGGAAUAUUGGACAAUGGACCAAGAGUCUGAUCCAGCAAUUCUGUGUGCAAGAUGAAGUUUUUCGGAAUGUAAAGUGCUUUCAGUUGGGAAGAAAAAAAUGACGGUACCAACAGAAGAAGUGACGGCUAAAUACGUG